rnacentral:rRNA from 1 species
AAAUAAGUUAAAACUUUCAACAACGGAUCUCUUGGUUCUGGCAUCGAUGAAGAACGCAGCGAAAUGCGAUAAGUAAUGUGAAUUGCAGAAUUCAGUGAAUCAUCGAAUCUUUGAACGCACAUUGCGCCCAUUAGUAUUCUAGUGGGCAUGCCUGUUCGAGCGUCAUUUCAACCCUUAAGCCUAGCUUAGUGUUGGGAGACUGCCUAAUACGCAGCUCCUCAAAACCAGUGGCGGAGUCUGUUCGUGCUCUGAGCGUAGUAAUUUUUUAUCUCGCUUCUGCAAGCCGGCCAGACGACAGCCAUAAACCGCACCCUCUCGGGGGGCACUUUUUUAAUGGUUGACCUCGGAUCAGGUAGGAAUACCCGCUGAACUUAAGCAUAUCAAUAAGCGGAGGA